rnacentral:lncRNA from 1 species
CAAUCAUGUUACUUCAAACGUAACUUCAAACGUAAAGUAGGCUCAGAUUUAUUUUUUCCUAACAAACUCGUUCUAGUCCACUCAAGAUUCUAUCCAAAAAGCAGUAUUUAGCACUUUUCAGGCUAAUUCCAAACAAACGAAGAUUAACAGAUCAUCAGUUUAGCUUCACACAUGAAAUUGAAAAAUGAAUUGCUGGUCAAAAUGCUAGUAACAAAAAUGUGAAAUUUAUAUGUGUUCCUUUUUCCUAAAUAUUGAAAAAAUAUCAACUAAUCAUCAGGUUUGCCAAAACAAAAAAAAUUUGAAAUAUAAUUCCUAGUUAAUUGGUUUACCAUUCUUUAUUACUUCUCUUUGAAUUCAGUAACUUAUCAAUGAUUAAAAGUGUGCUUCAACAAGUUAAUUCUUUAAGUUCAAAUAACUGGAAACCAUUUUCUCAAUGGUGCAGCAUUUCUUAAUGUCAGUUCAAGAUGUUUGGAGACAUAUUGCUGAUUUUAGAAGCUGAUGUGUGCUGAUUUAUGAAGGAAUUGUUUAGCUUGUACUCUGGGCUCUGAUCAAGGGAGAUACACUCUCAGAUACAGCCUGGCAUUUAAGGGUACCUCUUUCGUAGCUGGUUAUCUGCUUCCUGAGUUCAGUUGUAAUAGCUUGCAAGCUUCUCCCAUCCCAUAUGACUGGAUUCUGAUUUCUUAUUUUCUGAUAGCAGGGUAAACUUUGUUCUCCCUUAUUACUAAAUGUUGACUUGACAAAUAAAUAGACCUCCUGCAUUUUAA